rnacentral:lncRNA from 1 species
UGAAAUAGGGUUUACAACUACCGGUAUAAGGGUAGAAAACCACAGACUCCGCCGGGGAUAAGAUGAAUGAUUACUGAUUACUGAGCAAUUAUUCAUUUGUACCACAGGGAAGCACAGGAAACAGUCACAAGAAGCCAAUCUAGGAUCAAACUAAAGAGGCAAGCUGAAUCAAGACUCAUCCCAGUGAGGAUAUAACUCAAUGGAGACUCCCAUCCCAAUAUAUGUGUUGGGUGGAAACAAAA